AAUUGUGGACAAUUAGGUCACAACAAAAGAGGAUGCAAAGUACCCCCCAAAUCUAAUGAUGCAAGUGAGGGCCAGACUGAGCAGAGACAAGGGGCAACAUCUACUGUAGAGAGACAAAAUCAUAUUAGGAGAACAGGAGGCAAUCAUGUGUUUAUGGGCUUAAGAGUGGAAGAGGAUUGUCGCCCAUCAAGUGUUGCUGGAAGCCGAUCAACUAUAGUCUCAACCCAAACAAGUGUUGCUGGAAGCAAUGGAGUUGGUAGAUCUAGAAAAGGUGCUGGAGCUGGUGCUGGAAAAGGAAGAGCUGGAAGUGGAGCUGGAAAAGGUUAAGGAGCAACAACAAAAG